GAUGAACGCUGGCGGCGUGCCUAAUACAUGCAAGUCGAGCGAACAGACGAGGAGCUUGCUCCUCUGACGUUAGCGGCGGACGGGUGAGUAACAAGUGGAUAACCUACCUAUAAGACUGGGAUAACUUCGGGAAACCGGAGCUAAUACCGGAUAAUAUAUUGAACCGCAUGGUUCAGUAGUGAAAGGCGGUUUUUCUGUCACUUAUAGAUGGAUCCGCGCCGCAUUAGCUAGUUGGUAAGGUAACGGCUUACCAAGGCGACGAUGCGUAGCCGACCUGAGAGGGUGAUCGGCCACACUGGAACUGAGACACGGUCCAGACUCCUACGGGAGGCAGCAGUAGGGAAUCUUCCGCAAUGGGCGCAAGCCUGACGGAGCAACGCCGCGUGAGUGAUGAAGGUCUUCGGAUCGUAAAACUCUGUUAUUAGGGAAGAACAAAUGUGUAAGUACCUAUGCACGUCUUGACGGUACCUAAUGAGAAAGCCCCGGCUAACUACGUG
rnacentral:rRNA from 1 species